rnacentral:rRNA from 1 species
UUCAUGGAGAGUUUGAUCCUGGCUCAGGACGAACGCUGGCGGCGUGCCUAAUACAUGCAAGUCGAGCGGACCGACGGGAGCUUGCUCCCUUAGGUCAGCGGCGGACGGGUGAGUAACACGUGGGUAACCUGCCUGUAAGACUGGGAUAACUCCGGGAAACCGGGGCUAAUACCGGAUGCUUGAUUGAACCGCAUGGUUCAAUCAUAAAAGGUGGCUUUUAGCUACCACUUACAGAUGGACCCGCGGCGCAUUAGCUAGUUGGUGAGGUAACGGCUCACCAAGGCGACGAUGCGUAGCCGACCUGAGAGGGUGAUCGGCCACACUGGGACUGAGACACGGCCCAGACUCCUACGGGAGGCAGCAGUAGGGAAUCUUCCGCAAUGGACGAAAGUCUGACGGAGCAACGCCGCGUGAGUGAUGAAGGUUUUCGGAUCGUAAAACUCUGUUGUUAGGGAAGAACAAGUACCGUUCGAAUAGGGCGGCACCUUGACGGUACCUAACCAGAAAGCCACGGCUAACUACGUGCCAGCAGCCGCGGUAAUACGUAGGUGGCAAGCGUUGUCCGGAAUUAUUGGGCGUAAAGCGCGCGCAGGCGGUUUCUUAAGUCUGAUGUGAAAGCCCCCGGCUCAACCGGGGAGGGUCAUUGGAAACUGGGGAACUUGAGUGCAGAAGAGG